UGGGGGAUAGUUUAGCGGUAGAACCCCGGACUCUGACUCCGGUAGCUCUGGUUCGAAUCCAGGUCCCCCAGCCA
rnacentral:tRNA from 2 species